rnacentral:rRNA from 1 species
GCUUGUCUCAAAGAUUAAGCCAUGCAUGUCUAAGUAUAAACUGCUUAUACUGUGAAACUGCGAAUGGCUCAUUAAAUCAGUUAUAGUUUAUUUGAUGGUACCUACUACUCGGAUAACCGUAGUAAUUCUAGAGCUAAUACGUGCGUAAAUCCCGACUCCUGGAAGGGACGUAUUUAUUAGAUUUAAGGCCAACCGAGCUUGCUCGUCUCUUGGUGAAUCAUGAUAACUUCACGAAUCGCAUGGCCUCGCGCCGGCGAUAUUUCAUUCAAAUUUCUGCCCUAUCAAUUGGCGAUGGUAGGAUAGAGGCCUACCAUGGUGUUAACGGGUGACGGGGGAUUAGGGUUCGAUUCCGGAGAGGCAGCCUGAGAAACGGCUACCACAUCCAAGGAAGGCAGCAGG